GUCCUCAUUUGCGCGUUCGCUCAAGUUGAAAUAUUGGAACUUUGGCGGGAUUUCUCAAAUUCGCAGAAUACGCAAUCCUUCAGACACAACCUGGGAAUAAUGUUCAAGACAUUGAGUUGAAUAAGUGGAACUACACUGCAAAGGAGGCUAGGGUUAGCUAAUACCAGCAGAGGGGUAGCCAACACCAGAGGGUUAGGAAACACCAGAGGGUUAGCUAACACCAGAAGGUUAGCCAACACCAGAGGGUAAGCCAACACCAGAGGGUUAGCCAGCACAAGAGGGUUAGCCAACACCAGAGGGUUAGCCAACACCAGAGGGUUAGCCAACACCAGAGGGUUAGCCAACACCAGAGGGUUAGCCAACACCAGAGGGUUAGCCAACACCAGAGGGUUAGGAAACACCAGAGGGUUAGGUAACACCAGCAGAACAAGGCACUUGGAUCUCUUCAGGAGAAAAGAAAGCAGAGAGCUGAGAUGAUUCAAACCCUCUUCCUUCUUCAUGAUCUUCCCCUGAACACAUUAACAUCAUCAUCAUAAUCAACCCCCACCCUCACACUCCUUUAUAUGACAUCUAAAUCUAAAAAAAAAUAGAACUGUACAA